rnacentral:rRNA from 1 species
AUGCCGAGUCGGCCCAUGCGGACGAGCGCACAGGUCGUAUGCUCUGCGCCUGCUGUGGGGCGCUGUGCCCAGUUUAUAUACUGCCUUCCUCCAAUCGUAUUACCUCCAUGGGGGCAACCAGCCGAGAAAGAGGCCUUAGAGCCCACACAAAAAAGAAAGAGGCUUCAGAGCCCACGAGAAAAAAAGAGAGAAAAGAGGUCUUUAUUAGUUUCCACAAAAGAAAAAGAGCCAGAAACGGAAAAAUGGACCGAGGCCAGAGCCAACCAAAAAAAGAGGAGCCCACGAGAAAAAAAAGAAAAAGAGGCCUUUAUUUAG